GACGCUACCACAGAAAGUCUAAGAAUAACAUUCAUUCCUGAACAUGACGACACCAGAUAGUUUCUUCCUGUAAGAUUUGGGAUAAAGGUCAACUAGCUACUGGACUACAAAAUGGCGGAGUCUGGAUGUCGGAAGUUCAAACAAAAUUGUUCAAAACAUGUUUCAUGCCAGACGAAUAAAAAGGUUCACCUCCACCGAGUUAUAGAGUAACAAACACUAUGAACAAGUCAUAAUUUAUCAAGAUUGCAC
rnacentral:lncRNA from 1 species